GAUGAACGCUGGCGGCGUGCCUAAUACAUGCAAGUCGAGCGAACAGACGAGGAGCUUGCUCCUCUGACGUUAGCGGCGGACGGGUGAGUAACACGUGGAUAACCUACCUAUAAGACUGGGAUAACUUCGGGAAACCGGAGCUAAUACCGGAUAAUAUAUUGAACCGCAUGGGUCAAUAGUGAAAGACGGUUUUGCUGUCACUUCUAGAUGGAUCCGCGCCGCAUUAGCUAGAUGGUAAGGUAACGGCUUACCAAGGCGACGAUGCGUAGCCGACCUGAGAGGGUGAUAGGCCACACUGGAACUGGGACACGGUCCAGACUCCUACGGGAGGCAGCAGUAGGGAAUCUUCCGCAGUGGGCGGAAGCCUGACGGAGCAACGCCGCGUGAGUGAUGAAGGUCUUCGGAUCGUAAAACUCUGUUAUUAGGGAAGAACAAAUGUGUAAGUAACUAUGCACGUCUUGACGGUACCUAAUCAGAAAGCCACGGCUAACUACGUG
rnacentral:rRNA from 1 species